AAGAGUGUGCCGAAUCCUAAGGGCCACUUUGAUAGAGUGAUACAUAGGGGUUAGAGUCCCCUCAGCUCCUU
rnacentral:tRNA from 1 species